UGAAAAAACAGCUCUGCCACUGGGCUCC
rnacentral:piRNA from 1 species